rnacentral:misc_RNA from 1 species
GAAAUUGAAGACACAAAGAAGGAGAUGAGAACAACAGAAGAAUGGGGAUGAGAGGAGUACAGAACUUUCACAUAAAACUUGCCUGCUUUAAUUUUUAUGCUACUGUGUAUUUAUAGGUAGGGUCAACUAUCUUAAUUUCUUGCUUCCCACUUCACGCGUUCCACACUCGGAUGCUAAACGAAAUCUGUUAACUUUGUUGGAUACUUUCUCACUCUUGUACUGCGUCUCACACUUUCUGUUACUUGGGGAAUGCUGACCUGGCUGCUAUCUCGG